UACGAGGGGGGCGAGCGUUGUUCGGAAUUAUUGGGCGUAAAGCGCGCGCAGGCGGUUCCUUAAGUCUGAUGUGAAAGCCCCCGGCUCAACCGGGGAGGGUCAUUGGAAACUGGGGAACUUGAGUGCAGAAGAGGAGAGCGGAAUUCCACGUGUAGCGGUGAAAUGCGUAGAGAUGUGGAGGAACACCAGUGGCGAAGGCGGCUCUCUGGUCUGUAACUGACGCUGAGGCGCGAAAGCGUGGGGAGCGAACAGG
rnacentral:rRNA from 1 species